AAUAAAAUAUUAAUUGCCAAUUUGCUUAAUUGAAGUUAGUUCCAGCGUGACAUUGGAGAGCACAAAAAGCUUCAGCUUAGUUCCAGCAAUUCACCAUCACACUCGAAAAACAAGCAAACUCCUCCGAUUUGAAUUUGUGAAUUUGUGGUUUCCUUCACCUGAGUUCCUCCGAUUUGAAUCUCUCAUCUCAAACUCUGAGCUCCGAACUUCAAUUUAAUCCCCAGAGAGAGAUUGAUCCGAGCUCAAAACUCUCCGACAUCGUCGUAGCAGCAUCCCUCGCGAUCUCCUCCGCUUGAGAUCAAAAUUUUGGUGCGACCUUUUCAUUUCUCCUCUAAUUUCAUAUAUAAUUUCUCUAUUUAUAACCAUUAUUCUAUCAUUUUAUUGAAGCUCUGCUUUGGUGCAUUGUAAUUGAAGCUCUACUUUCGAAUUGAAGUCCAGUCUCACAGUAGCCAUUCUAAGUACUUGUUAGUUUUGAAAUGGACAAGAGUUGGAUUAAUGCGCCAAGGGUUAGUGAUGUUUAUAAGAGUGGAUGUGAGUCAUUCAUACAAUUUGCCAUGGAAGCUCAAGAAACUAUACUUUGCCCCUGCUUGAAGUGUUGUAAUGGCAAAAGGUUUUCAACUGAAAAUGUUCUUCAUCACAUAUUAUUCAAUGGUUUUUGUCCGG